rnacentral:misc_RNA from 1 species
GUAGGUGAACCUGCGGAAGGAUCAUUAACGAAGUUUGGACCUCAUGGUCCUCUCUCUCUACACACCUGUGAACUCACCCUGUUGCUUCGGCAGGUUUCUGACUCUUUCAGAGUUGGUUAGGCCAUCUUGGCGCCUGCCGGAGACAUUACUAAACCCUUAUAACAUGUCUGAUUAUUGUUUUAUACAAAUUAUAAUAAAACUUUCAACAACGGAUCUCUUGGCUCUG